UACGUAGGGUGCAAGCGUUUGUCCGGAAUUAUUGGGCGUAAAGAGCUCGUAGGCGGUCUGUCGCGUCGGCUGUGAAAACCUGGGGCUCAACUCCGGGCCUGCAGCCGAUACGGGCAGACUAGAAUUCGGUAGGGGAGACUGGAAUUCCUGGUGUAGCGGUGAAAUGCGCAGAUAUCAGGAGGAACACCGGUGGCGAAGGCGGGUCUCUGGGCCGAUAUUGACGCUGAGGAGCGAAAGCGUGGGGAGCGAACAGG
rnacentral:rRNA from 1 species